GUGAGGAAUUUUCCGCAAUGGGCGAAAGCCUGACGGAGCAAUGCCGCGUGAAGGAUGAAGGCCUAUGGGUUGUAAACUUCUUUUCUCAGAAAAGAAUUAUGACGGUAUCUGAGGAAUAAGCAUCGGCUAACUCUGUGCCAGCAGCCGCGGUAAGACAGAGGAUGCAAGCGUUAUCCGGAAUGAUUGGGCGUAAAGCGUCUGUAGGUUGUUUAAAAAGUAUUCUGUCAAAGAUUGGGGCUUAACCCUAGAUAGGCAGAAUAAACUUUUAAGCUAGAGUUUGGUAGAGGCAGAGGGAAUUCCCGGUGGAGCGGUGAAAUGCGUAGAUAUCGGGAGGAACACCAAAGGCGAAGGCACUCUGCUGGGCCAAUACUAACACUGAGAGACGAAAGCGAGGGGAGCAAAUGGGAUUAGAAACCCCAGUAGUCC
rnacentral:rRNA from 1 species